UCCAAACCUGUGAUUUUAUAUCUUCAGUAAAAUGGGAUUUCUGCAAAGAAAGGGGGACUGCUAAAAAAAACCAGUCAAACCACUUUCUUUGUUAAGUAAAUGACCCUUGCCAGGUGGGUUAAGUAUUGGCUUUGUUAUGUUAGCUUUGGCCCAAGUGUUGCCAUAGAAACUAAACAGCUGAAGAUGCUUCUAGAAGCCUAGCCGAAAUGAGAAGACCUUUCUCAAUUGAUUUGGAUGAAGGAGCUGGCAUCAAGGUGUGUGUCUGAAGGAGAACAGAAGGAACCUCAGUCUUGAGCUCCGCAGCCUCAGGAGAUGCCGUGUGAUCCAGAGAGGCCUGUUGAAGGUUGCCACAGCCUGCACAGCAUUGACAGAUGCCGCACCCGCCAGAGCAUGGAAGCCAAAAUGGGACACCCAGGAUUGUGUCCUGAACCCCUGGCCUACCUGGUGACAAGUCGGUGUGAUUUCCAAGCCAUCCGAAAGAAGCAAGACCAUGCCCCAGAAUGCCUAACGGCUCAGCCUAUGAAAGGUGUGUGUCCUUCUACCUAUCU